AUUAACGCUGGCGGCGUGCCUAACACAUGCAAGUCGAGCGAGAAAGGCCUUCGGGCUGAGUACAGCGGCGAACGGGUGAGUAACGCGUGAGAAUCUACCCCUUAGUGGAGAAUACCCUCGAGAAAUUGAGGUUAAUACUGCAUAGCUCCUUCACGGGAGAAAGAUGGCCUCUUUGCUAUCGCUAGGGGAUGAGCUUGCGUAACAUUAGCUAGUUGGUAGGGUAAAGGCCUACCAAGGCUGUGAUGUUUAGCCGGCCUGAGAGGGCGACCGGCCACACUGGAACUUAGACACGGUCCAGACUCCUACGGGAGGCAGCAGUGAGGAAUAUUGCGCAAUGGGCGAAAGCCUGACGCAGCGACGCCGCGUGGAGGAUGAAGGUCUUCGGAUUGUAAACUUCUGUUAAGCGGGAAGAAAGACCCUGUUAUAAUACAGCGGGGGGAUGACGGUACCGCUAAAGAAAGCACCGGCUAACUUCGUGCCAGCAGCCGCGGUAAUACGAAGGGUGCAAGCGUUAUUCGGAUUUAUUGGGCGUAAAGGGUGCGCAGGCGGAUUGUUAAGUCAACUGUUAAAUCUCUGGGCUUAACCCAGAGGCUGCGGUAGAUACUGGCAAUCUAGAGAGUGAGAGAGAGAAGUGGAAUUCUCGGAGUAGCGGUAAAAUGCGUAGAUCUCGAGAGGAACAUCGAUGGCGAAGGCAGCUUCUUGGCUCAUUUCUGACGCUCAUGCACGAAAGCGUGGGGAGCAAACAGGAUUAGAUACCCUGGUAGUCCACGCUGUAAACGAUGAUCACUAGACGUUAUCCCUGUUUUGCAGGGGCAGUGUCGUAGCUAACGCGAUAAGUGAUCCGCCUGGGAAGUACGGUCGCAAGAUUAAAACUUAAAGGAAUUGACGGGGGUCCGCACAAGCGGUGGAACAUGUGGUUUAAUUCGACACUACGCGAGGAACCUUACCUAGGCUUGACAUAUUUUUGAUCGCUGCAGAAAUGCAGUUUUCUUUGGGUAACUAAAGACAAUUAUACAGGUGCUGCAUGGCUGUCGUCAGCUCGUGUCGUGAGAUGUUGGGUUAAGUCCUUUAACGAGCGCAACUCCUGCCGUUAGUUGCCACUCCGUGAGGAAGCACUCUAGCGGGACUGCCUGGGAAACCAGGAGGAAGGUGGGAAUGAUGUCAAGUCCGCAUGGCCUUUAUGCCUAGGGCAACACACGUGUUACAAUGGCCGAUACAAAGGGUUGCGAACUCGCAAGGGGGAGCUAAUCUCAUAAAGUCGGUCUAAGUUCGGAUUGAGGUCUGCAACUCGACCUCAUGAAGUUGAAAUCGCUAGUAAUCGCGUAUCAGAACGACGCGGUGAAUACGUUCUCGGACCUUGUACACACCGCCCGUCACACCAUGGAAGCUGUUUGCACCCGAAAUCGUCUUAGCUAACUUGCAAAAGAGGCGGACGCUGAAGGUGUUGAGAGUGACUGGGGUG
rnacentral:rRNA from 1 species